AGUGAACGCUGGCGGUAGGCCUAACACAUGCAAGUCGAACGGCAGCACAGUAAGAGCUUGCUCUUACGGGUGGCGAGUGGCGGACGGGUGAGGAAUACAUCGGAAUCUACUUUUUCGUGGGGGAUAACGUAGGGAAACUUACGCUAAUACCGCAUACGACCUACGGGUGAAAGCAGGGGAUCUUCGGACCUUUCGCGAUUGAAUGAGCCGAUGUCGGAUUAGCUAGUUGGCGGGGUAAAGGCCCACCAAGGCAACGCUCCGUAGCUGGCCUGAGAGGAUGUCCAGCAAAAUGGGACUUGGGCACGGGUCAAGAUCCCAAGGGGAGCAACAAGUGGGAAUUAUUGGCAAAUGGGGGAAGGCCUGACCAGGCAAUCCGGCGUGGGUGAAGAGGGCUUCGGGGUUGUAAAGCCCUUUUGUUGGGAAAGAAAAGCGGCAGGUUAAUACCCCGCUGUUUGGCGGUACCCAAAAGAAUAAGCACGGGUAACUUCGUG
rnacentral:rRNA from 1 species